CUUUCUUAACCAGUGCAUAUAUACCUGUUCCUUUCUUACAACUUCUACUUUCAGGGGUUCGGAGACAGACGAGAUUGUUCCUAAAUUUUGUGCCAAAUAAACAUUAAAGACAUACUAGAAAGUUACAUUCCCAAAGUGAGUGUUCCUCAAUCCUCCCUAGUCAAAUGGAUCAAUUCGUGGGUCAUGUUCACUUGCCAUCAACAUCCCAGUGCACAGGCAUGUAGGGCACAUUACCUUUCCAGCACCAGAACAGUUUGCACACCUUUGAGUUUUUGGUACUUGCAAGGGGCGAUUUGAAGCACUGGAUAGUGAGACGGGAUCAAUGCCCAAGCACACACCACUUGAUGAACAUCGGGCACAGGCCAAGUAUCCCGUUCCAUGGCAAUAUNUUCUUCUCUUGUUGCUCGACAUUAUUGGCCUCAAUCAGCAUCAAGGCUGAAAUGACACCUACUGCCCCACCUGAAAAGGAAGCCACAAUGGGAUCCACCUGACUCAGCUGCAUCGGCAAAUGCAUGCUACGUAUGAAAUCCUCAUAUGAGGUGCCACCAAGACCUAAUUUUAGUUCCAGAGUAGGAGCAAUUAGUCCCCCAAAUACGAUAAUCCCCGAUACAAAAGAUAAACUUGUAAGGUAAAGCUGCUUCAAUGUCUUCGAUGUCACACGAGGAAGAAAAGGGAUUGAUGAUGGGAUAUCAGGCAUUUCAUCUGCCUCUUCUCGUUCUUCUUCU
rnacentral:misc_RNA from 1 species